rnacentral:lncRNA from 1 species
AUUCAUAGCAACAACAUAAGUCCAUUGACUAAGAUUUUAUUCAUUUGGCCUAUGCUAAUUAUAUCGUUGUGAUUCAUAGUUAUAUUGGCCGUUUAUAUAAUAGCCACUAUAUAAUUUCAUUCAUUAAGGUCAUACGUAUCUGCCACUAGUUAUUCAUAGCAACCAUAUAAGUCCAUUGACUAAGAUUAUAGUCAUAUGGCCUAUGCUAAUUACAUCGUUGUGAUUCAUUGUUAUAUUGACCGUUUAUGUAAUAGCCAAUUUAUAAUUUCAUUCACUAAGGUCAUACGUAUCGGCCACUAAUUAUUCAUAGCAACCAUAUAAGUCCAUUGGCUAAGGUUUCAUUCAUUUGACCUAUGCUAAUUACAUCGUUGUGAUUCAUAGUUAUAUUGACCUUUUAUAUAAUAGCCAAUGUAUAAUUUCAUUCAUUGAGGUCAUACGUAUUGGCCACUAGUUAUUCAAAGCAACCAUAUAAGUCCAUUGACUAAGGUUUUAUUCAUAUGGCCUAUGUUGAUUACAUCGUUGUGAUUCAUAGUUAUAUUUACCAUUUAUAUAAUAGCCAAAAUAUAAUUUUAUUUAUUAAGGUCAUACGUAUCGGCCACUAGUUAUUCAUAGCAACCAUAUAAGUCCAUUGACUAAGAUUUAUUCAUAUGGCCAAUACUAAUUACAUCGUU